GACGUACCACUCGAACGUUAUUCGGAUUCACUGGGCUUACAGAGUCCGUAGGCGGUCAAGAAAGUUCGGCGUGAAAUCCCUCAGCUCAACUGAGGAAUAGCGCUUAAAACUACUUGGCUAGAGAGAGUCAGAGGUGAGCGGAACUGAUGGUGGAGCGGUGAAAUGCGUUGAUAUCAUCAGGAACACCGGUGGCGAAAGCGGCUCACUGGGGCUUUUCUGACGCUGAGGGACGAAAGCUAGGGGAGCGAACGGG
rnacentral:rRNA from 1 species